rnacentral:rRNA from 1 species
UACGUAGGGGGCAAGCGUUGUCCGGAUUUACUGGGCGUAAAGAGCGCGCAGGCGGUCGUUCAAGUCGCGUGUGAAAGCCCCCGGCUCAACUGGGGAGGGUCACGCGAUACUGAUCGACUCGAAGGCAGGAGAGGGUAGUGGAAUUCCCGGUGUAGUGGUGAAAUUCGUAGAUAUCGGGAGGAACACCAGUGGCGAAGGCGGCGAUCUGGGAAGAUACUGACGCUGAGGUGCGAAAGCGUGGGGAGCAAACAGG